rnacentral:rRNA from 1 species
GAUGAACGCUGGCGGCGUGCUUAACACAUGCAAGUCGAACGAUGAAGCCCAGCUUGCUGGGCGCUUUAGUGGCGAACGGGCGAGUAACACGCGAGUAAACUGCCUUUGACUCUGGCAUAAGUCACGGCAACUGGGCCUAAUACUGGAUAUGACUUCUCAUCACACGGUGGGGGGUGUAAAGAUAUAUUGGUUUUAGAUGGACUCGCGGCUUAUCAGCUCGUUAGUGAGGUAUUGGCUCACUAAGGCGAUGACGGGUAGACGACCUGUGAAGGUGACCAGCGACAAUGGGACUAAGAGACGGCGCAGACUGCUACGGGACGCAGCAGUGGGGAAUAUGACACAGUGGGCGCAAGCCUGAUGCAGAGACGCCGCGUGAGGAAUGACGGCCUUCGGGUUAUAAACCUCUGUCUGUAUGAAUAAAGCGAGAUUGACGGUACCUGCAGAAGAAGCGCCGGCUAACUACGUG